GAUGAACGCUGGCGGCGUGCCUAAUACAUGCAAGUCGAGCGAACGGACGAGAAGCUUGCUUCUCUGAUGUUAGCGGCGGACGGGUGAGUAACACGUGGCUAACCUACCUAUAAGACUGGGAUAACUUCGGGAAACCGUAGCUAAUACCGGAUAAUAUUUUGAACCGCAUGGUUCAAAAGUGAAAGACGGUCUUGCUGUCACUUAUAGAUGGAUCCGCGCUGCAUUAGCUAGUUGGUAAGGUAACGGCUUACCAAGGCAACGAUGCAUAGCCGACCUGAGAGGGUGAUCGGCCACACUGGAACUGAGACACGGUCCAGACUCCUACGGGAGGCAGCAGUAGGGAAUCUUCCGCAAUGGGCGAAAGCCUGACGGAGCAACGCCGCGUGAGUGAUGAAGGUCUUCGGAUCGUAAAGCUCUGUUAUUAGGGAAGAACAUAUGUGUAAGUAACUGUGCACAUCUUGACGGUACCUAAUCAGAAAGCAACGGCUAACUACGUG
rnacentral:rRNA from 1 species